CCUACGGGAGGCAGCAGUGAGGAAUAUUGGUCAAUGGGCGGGAGCCUGAACCAGCCAAGCCGCGUGAGGGAAGAAGGUACAGCGUAUCGUAAACCUCUUUUGUCAGGGAACAAAGGCGGGGACUAGUCCCCGGAUGAGGGUACCUGAAGAAAAAGCAUCGGCUAACUCCGUGCCAGCAGCCGCGGUAAUACGGAGGAUGCGAGCGUUAUCCGGAUUUAAGGGGUUUAAAGGGUGCGCAGGGGGCCUGUUAAGUCAGCGGUAAAAGCCCGGGGCCCAACCCCGGCGAGCCGUUGAAACUGGCGGGCUGGAGUUGGAGAGAGGUACGCGGAAUGCGCGGUGUAGCGGUGAAAUGCUUAGAUAUCGCGCAGAACCCCGAUUGCGAAGGCAGCGUACCGGCUCCACACUGACGCUGAGGCACGAAAGCGUGGGUAUCGAACAGGAUUAGAUACCCCAGUAGUC
rnacentral:rRNA from 1 species